UGGCUUUUGAUUGUAUUGUUUUGUCUUGUCCAAUAAUUUCCUUAGAGAGAACUGGUGAACCUCACAGAAACUCCUUCAGGACUCCAUAUUCUCAAAGGAAAGUUACUAACUGGUACUGAAGACUUUUUCUGGGCUUACAGUCUGGUAGCUAUGCACUAGGAGUUGAACUAGGUAUCAUUCAAAUGUAAGUUGCUGGUGAUGUAGUAGACUUUUUUUGGUUGUGGCUACUGCCUAGUUUAAUGAAUGUGUAUCUCCCUUGUCCACUUGGCUAGAGACAACAUUUCACAUGGUUGCUUUGUUGCCACUUCAAAUGACACAACAAUCAAUAGAAUCAGAAAGACAUUCUAUACCAGAUUGUCUGUGCUUCCCUACAGCCGAAUAUACACUACACAGAAGAUCGAUGCUGCCGUGGUCCAUCUUCCAGGAUUCGUUUAUGUGAGUCUAGUGAAGACCCGCUAAUUCGACUGAGAGGGAGCCCCCUUUGGAGCUGGGACUCCUGUUCUUCACAAGGAAUAAGGGAAGUCGAUGGGAGCCCCUGUGUGGAUGGUGAUUUAAGGCAACUUCAGAAGAGACUCUGUAUGCAUGUGAAACUGCAGCUCUGAGAAAUCCUUGUGACCCAAAAUGUCCUGCUGGGGGAGAACCUAUGACCUGCAACUGAACCUAACAGUGAGAGGAGUUGCAUAUUUUAUGUCACACAGUUUGCCUGGUUGCGUACAUUCAGGCAUGAAUUGACAGAUUGUGAAACCUACAAGUGAGGAAAUCUACAGGAAGAAACAAACAGCGGUGUCACGUUCAUGAAUAAAGACAAGGAAGUGAUCUGGUAUAUCUUAGUGUGCAAAGAAACAGAUUGAAUCCUUUGCUUAGGAGGCAAACUGACCGUGAAUAAUGAGUUUCUUCUUAAUUAAGUCUAGGCUCUAGAAUGUGUUAUGAUUUUUUUAUUUUAGUUUAGCCAUUUAUUUCCUAUACUUCCACUUGCUACACUUGAGUGUCUAUGCUUCGUUAAAUAAAA